CCUACGGGAGGCAGCAGUGGGGAAUUUUGGACAAUGGGGGCAAGCCUGAUCCAGCAAUGCCGCGUGUGUGAAGAAGGCCUUCGGGUUGUAAAGCUCUUUUGUCCGGAAAGAAAUCGCACUGGUUAAUACCUGGGGCGCAUGACGGUACCGGGCCAGUAAGGACCGGCUUACUACGUGCCAGCAGCCGCGGUAAUA
rnacentral:rRNA from 1 species